rnacentral:rRNA from 1 species
CACUCCUGCGGGAGGCAGCAGUGGGGAAUUUUGGACAAUGGGCGAAAGCCUGAUCCAGCAAUGCCGCGUGUGUGAAGAAGGCCUUCGGGUUGUAAAGCACUUUUGUCCGGAAAGAAAUCCUUGGCUCUAAUACAGUCGGGGGAUGACGGUACCGGAAGAAUAAGCACCGGCUAACUACGUGCCAGCAGCCGCGGUAAUACGUAGGGUGCGAGCGUUAAUCGGAAUUACUGGGCGUAAAGCGUGCGCAGGCGGUUUGCUAAGACCGAUGUGAAAUCCCCGGGCUCAACCUGGGAACUGCAUUGGUGACUGGCAGGCUAGAGUAUGGCAGAGGGGGGUAGAAUUCCACGUGUAGCAGUGAAAUGCGUAGAGAUGUGGAGGAAUACCGAUGGCGAAGGCAGCCCCCUGGGCCAAUACUGACGCUCAUGCACGAAAGCGUGGGGAGCAAACAGGAUUAGAAACCCUUGUAGUCCCAUGAU